GAUGAACGCUGGCGGCGUGCCUAAUACAUGCAAGUCGAGCGAACAGACGAGGAGCUUGCUCCUCUGACGUUAGCGGCGGACGGGUGAGUAACACGUGAUAACCUACCUAUAAGACCGGGAUUACUUUAGGAAACCGGGGCUAAUACCCGAAUAUAUAUUGGACCGGCAGGGUUAAUAGUGAAAUGCGGUUUUGUUUUCUACUGGUGGUGGAUCCGCGCCCGACUUGCUAGCUUGUUAGGUAACGGCUUACCAAGGCGACGAUGCGUAGGCGACCUGAGAGGGUGAUCGGCCACACUGGAACUGAGACACGGUCCAGACUCAUACGGGAGGCAGCAGUAGGGAAUCUUCCGCAAUGGGCGAAAGCCUGACGGAGCAACGCCGCGUGAGUGAUGAAGGUCUUCGGCUCGUAAAACUCUGUUAUUAGGGAAGAACAAAUGUGUAAGUAACUAUGCACGUCUUGACGGUACCUAAUCAGAAAGCCACGGCUAACUACGUG
rnacentral:rRNA from 1 species